UGAGGAAUAUUGGUCAAUGGGCGUGAGCCUGAACCAGCCAAGUAGCGUGCAGGAAGACGGCACUAUGGGUUGUAAACUGCUUUUAUGCGGGGAUAAAGGAGUCCACGUGUGGAUUUUUGCAGGUACCGCAUGAAUAAGGACCGGCUAAUUCCGUGCCAGCAGCCGCGGUAAUACGGAAGGUCGGGGCGUUAUCCGGAUUUAUUGGGUUUAAAGGGAGCGUAGGCCGCGUUUUAAGCGUGUUGUGAAAUGUAGACGCCCCACGUCUGCAUCGCAGCGCGAACUGUGUCGCUUGAGUACGCGCAACGUGUGCGGAAUUCGUCGUGUAGCGGUGAAAUGCUUAGCUUUGACGAGGAACUCCUAUUGCGAAGUCAGCUGACUGGUGCGGCACUAACGCUUAAGCUCUAAAGAGCGGGUAUCAAACAGG
rnacentral:rRNA from 1 species